UACGUAGGACCCAAGCGUUAUCCGGAUUGACUGGGCGUAAAGAGUUGCGUAGGUGGUUUGUUAAGCGAAUAGUGAAAUCUUGUGGCUCAACCAUAAGGCUAUUAUUCGAACUGGCAAACUCGAGAAAUGGGAGAGGUAUCUAGAAUUCCUCAUGUAGGGGUAAUAUCCGUAGAUAUGAGGAGGAAUACCAAUGGCGUAGGCAGGAUACUGG
rnacentral:rRNA from 1 species